rnacentral:rRNA from 1 species
AUGGCUUUCGCGGCUCGCCGUAGCGGUGCACUGUUGAUGACGCUGGUCGUGGCGGCGGCUGUGGGGCUGGCCGGCGCGGACUUCGCGGCGGACAAGGCGGAGUGCGCGGACAAGCUGAUGGGGCUGGCGACGUGCCUGACGUACGUGCAGCUGACGGCGACGGCGCGGGCGCCCACGCCGGACUGCUGCACCGGGUUCCGGCAGGUGCUGGGCACCAGCAAGCGGUGCAUGUGCAUCCUGGUCAAGGACCGCGACGAGCCGGCGCUGGGCAUCAAGGUCAACAUCACCCGCUCCAUGAACCUCCCCUCUGUUUGCAACAUCGCCGCCACCUUCUCCGACUGCCCCAAGAUCCUUAACAUGUCGCCGGACUCCAAGGAGACGGAGAUCUUCAAGCAGUAUGCGCGUGAGCACGAGGGCAAGAACGCCGCCACCACUUCGCCCACCGCCGCCGCCGCCACCGCCACCGGUACUGCCACCGGGAAGAGCGUGGACGCGACGUCCGGUGCAGGGAGGCACACGGUGGUCUUCGCCGUCGUCGUCUCGGCGGUGCUCGCCUCCGCCUUUGUUCUUGCGUGA